CCUAACCAGAACAACCAGGUGAACGGGAAGAACCAGCAGAACUUGGAGAAACCCCCUCAGAAACCACAGCUCCCACUACAGCAGGCUGCCCAACCUCAGGCACCAGCAAAGACAUGGCCUAAAGGAUUCCAGACAGAGGCUGCCAAC